rnacentral:rRNA from 1 species
UACAGAGGGGGCAAGCGUUGUUCGGAAUUACUGGGCGUAAAGGGCGCGUAGGCGGCCUGCUAAGUCGAACGUGAAAUCCCUGGGCUCAACCCAGGAACUGCGUCCGAUACUGGUUGGCUUGAAUCCGGGAGAGGGAUGUGGAAUUCCAGGUGUAGCGGUGAAAUGCGUAGAUAUCUGGAGGAACACCGGUGGCGAAGGCGGCAUCCUGGACCGAGAUUGACGCUGAGGCGCGAAAGCGUGGGGAGCAAACGGG